rfam:Calditerrivibrio nitroreducens DSM 19672, complete genome.
GGGGGCGCUAAGGUUUCGACGGGGAAGCCGUAGGCGUGAAGGGCAUGCCGAGUUCGGAAUCUCGUAAAAAUCCGGCUAAAGUAACUGCAAACGACGAAUACGCUCUCGCUGCUGCUUAGUCAGCGACGCUCUCUGAUGGUUUGCCUGUGACUGUCAGAAGGGCGCCAGAAAACAGGCUGGUCUGAUAUGACGCCUUUGAGUAUCAGACGAGACUAAAAAGGCUUGCGAAGCUUAAGCCUGCCUGUGGGCUCUAAGCUUAGGACAACCAAUCACAGGAUAAGCAUGUAGUCCUUUAUGUCGAAAGUUCUUCGGACGCGGGUUCGAUUCCCGCCGCCUCCAUAU